rnacentral:rRNA from 1 species
GACGAACGCUGGCGGCGUGCCUAAUACAUGCAAGUCGAGCGGAAUGAUGAAGAAGCUUGCUUCUUCUGAUUUUAGCGGCGGACGGGUGAGUAACACGUGGGCAACCUACCUUGUAGAUUGGGAUAACUCCGGGAAACCGGGGCUAAUACCGAAUAAUCCAUUUCGCUUCAUGGCGGAAUGUUAAAAGGCGGCUUUUAGCUGUCACUGCAAGAUGGGCCCGCGGCGCAUUAGCUAGUUGGUAGGGUAACGGCCUACCAAGGCGACGAUGCGUAGCCGACCUGAGAGGGUGAUCGGCCACACUGGGACUGAGACACGGCCCAGACUCCUACGGGAGGCAGCAGUAGGGAAUCUUCCACAAUGGACGAAAGUCUGAUGGAGCAACGCCGCGUGAGUGAAGAAGGUUUUCGGAUCGUAAAACUCUGUUGUAAGGGAAGAACACGUACGAGAGUAACUGCUCGUACCUUGACGGUACCUUAUUAGAAAGCCACGGCUAACUACGUGCCAGCAGCCGCAGUAACAC